AUUGAACGCUGGCGGCAGGCCUAACACAUGCAAGUCGGGCGGAUGAAGGGAGCUUGCUCCUGGAUUCAGCGGCGGACGGGUGAGUAAUGCCUAGGAAUCUGCCUGGUAGUGGGGGAUAACGUCCGGAAACGGGCGCUAAUACCGCAUACGUCCUGAGGGAGAAAGUGGGGGAUCUUCGGACCUCACGCUAUCAGAUGAGCCUAGGUCGGAUUAGCUAGUUGGUGGGGUAAAGGCCUACCAAAGCGACGAUCCGUAACUGGUCUGAGAGGAUGAUCAGUCACACUGGAACUGAGACACGGUCCAGACUCCUACGGGAGGCAGCAGUGGGGAAUAUUGGACAAUGGGCGAAAGCCUGAUCCAGCCAUGCCGCGUGUGUGAAGAAGGUCUUCGGAUUGUAAAGCACUUUAAGUUGGGAGGAAGGGCAGUAAGUUAAUACCUUGCUGUUUUGACGUUACCAACAGAAUAAGCACCGGCUAACUUCGUG
rnacentral:rRNA from 1 species